ensembl:lncRNA
GUUCACACCAAGCCUGCAGACCAUGUGCUAGGUACUUACUUGGCAAACGGCCAAGGGAAAAGAGACCGAAACUACAGCACAGCCAUCACCUAAAAAGCCAGCUGUGCUUUCUCUGUAUCCUUCUACCCUAACAGUAAAACCCUGCGCAGAGAAGGGGGUGUGUGAGGAAGAAGCCAGAAGACCGCGCCCCUCCUUCUAGCCUUAAAGGUUUGACAGCCCGUGAGUUGGUAGAAGUGUGUGAGUGUGAUUGAUAAAUACACGUGGUUCUGCUCCGACGUUCCUGGCAGAAGCAGCCUUGUGGGAAGGAAGAUUCAAAACCAGACUUCCUCUUUCCCCCUCUCCCUUCAAGGUCUUCCACAGGGAACACGAUCCUCAGCCCCACCCCAGACACGUCCCAGGGGAAGGCAGGCCUGCGGGGCAGAGGCGUCCCCGGGUCAGCCUUGGAGGUGGUCAGCGGGCUCUGACCUGAACUUGCUAACACUGAACUGGCCUGCCCUUGGCUGAAAAAACCUUCCCACAUCCAGCAUUGCCUCUUGGGCUCUGGCAUCUUAAAGCCGUGCUCAAGAGAAAGCAACUCCAGACUGGAAAAUGAGGACUCUAGAAAGUGGGGAUUUGUGGAAGGUUUGGAAUGAGGAGAGUGACCUGUGCCACGUCUUACACUAUCUCUUGCCUCUUGAGGAAGGACUGGAAAAAUCCUUAGAGAUUUUUCAACUAAGUAAAUUGGGAGUUUUCAGGACUCAUUCUGGACCGUCUUCUCUCUACACUCUGCAUAGGCACAUGGGAUGAUCGCACCUCGUCAUACCCUUGAAGUGGAGAUAUGACUAUGUCACUUGCUUUGGACAGUGAAAUGUGAACAAAAGUGAUUUGCG